GAAAACCAUCAGGCACUUACCACCGGGCCUUCAUUCCAGGACACCGGGCCUUCAUUCCAGGACACCGGGCCGGUAGUUGCGGCGGCCAUCUCUGCUCAGCCCCGCCAUCUGUUCUCCAUGCUGUGGAACACGGCGCUCCCUCUGGCUGCAGGCGUUUGGAAAUGGUGGCAAAAAUUGUCAAUUGGAGUAAAAAAGAUACUCAGUUGUGCUUCAGACGGUGACUGGGACGGUUUUCUGAGACAGGUACAUAAAGCAAGGAGCAUGGUGUCCAAUCCGUCCCGUCUCCAACACACACAGUAGACGACACAACAAACACAACUGGAGAGAUUCAUCUGACCAUCCAACAAGCAGCACAGAGGGAAUGUAAAGAACAUGUAAGAGCAGAGAAGCUACACGGCUGAAAGUCUUUCUGUGUGGAGUUUGCACGUUGUCCCUGAGUUUGUGUGAGCGUGAU